AGAGUUUGAUCAUGGCUCAGAUUGAACGCUGGCGGCAUGCCUUACACAUGCAAGUCGAACGGCAGCGCGGGGGCAACCCUGGCGGCGAGUGGCGAACGGGUGAGUAAUACAUCGGAACGUGUCCUGGAGUGGGGGAUAGCUCGGCGAAAGCCGGAUUAAUACCGCAUACGCUCUGAGGAGGAAAGCGGGGGAUCUUCGGACCUCGCGCUCAAGGGGCGGCCGAUGGCGGAUUAGCUAGUUGGUGGGGUAAAGGCCUACCAAGGCGACGAUCCGUAGCUGGUCUGAGAGGACGACCAGCCACACUGGGACUGAGACACGGCCCAGACUCCUACGGGAGGCAGCAGUGGGGAAUUUUGGACAAUGGGGGAAACCCUGAUCCAGCAAUGCCGCGUGUGUGAAGAAGGCCUUCGGGUUGUAAAGCACUUUUGUUCGGGAAGAAAUCCUUUGAGCUAAUACCUUGAGGGGAUGACGGUACCGGAAGAAUAAGCACCGGCUAACUACGUGCCAGCAGCCGCGGUAAUACGUAGGGUGCGAGCGUUAAUCGGAAUUACUGGGCGUAAAGCGUGCGCAGGCGGUUCGCUAAGACCGAUGUGAAAUCCCCGGGCUUAACCUGGGAACUGCAUUGGUGACUGGCGGGCUAGAGUAUGGCAGAGGGGGGUAGAAUUCCACGUAGCAGUGAAAUGCGUAGAGAUGUGGAGGAAUACCGAUGGCGAAGGCAGCCCCCUGGGCCAAUACUGACGCUCAUGCACGAAAGCGUGGGGAGCAAACAGGAUUAGAUACCCCAGUAGUCC
rnacentral:rRNA from 1 species